CCCUACGGGCGCAGCAGUAGGGAAUCUUCCGCAAUGGGCGAAAGCCUGGUGGAGCAACGCCGCGUGGGUGAAGAAGGUCUUCGGAUCGUAAAACCCUGUUGUUAGAGAAGAAAGUGCGUGAGAGUAACUGUUCACGUUUCGACGGUAUCUAACCAGAAAGCCACGGCUAACUACGUGCCAGCAGCCGCGGUAAUACGUAGGUGGCAAGCGUUAUCCGGAUUUAUUGGGCGUAAAGGGAACGCAGGCGGUCUUUUAAGUCUGAUGUGAAAGCCUUCGGCUUAACCGGAGUAGUGCAUUGGAAACUG
rnacentral:rRNA from 1 species